AGAGUUUGAUCCUGGCUCAGGACGAACGCUGGCGGCGUGCCUAAUACAUGCAAGUCGAGCGAGCCGAACCAAUUGAUUACCUUCGGGUAUGAAGUUAGGGAAGCGAGCGGCGGAUGGGUGAGUAACACGUGGGUAACCUACCCUAUAGUCUGGGAUACCACUUGGAAACAGGUGCUAAUACCGGAUAAAAGGAGAGAUCACAUGAUUUCUUUUUGAAAGGCGGCGUAAGCUGUCGCUAAAGGAUGGACCCGCGGUGCAUUAGCUAGUUGGUAAGGUAACGGCUUACCAAGGCAACGAUGCAUAGCCGAGUUGAGAGACUGAUCGGCCACAUUGGGACUGAGACACGGCCCAAACUCCUACGGGAGGCAGCAGUAGGGAAUCUUCCACAAUGGACGCAAGUCUGAUGGAGCAACGCCGCGUGAGUGAAGAAGGUUUUCGGAUCGUAAAGCUCUGUUGUUGGUGAAGAAAGAUAGUGAGAGUAACUGCUCAUUAUUUGCCGGUAAUCAACCAGAAAGUCACGGCUAACUACGUGCCAGCAGCCGCGGUAAUACGUAGGUGGCAAGCGUUGUCCGGAUUUAU
rnacentral:rRNA from 1 species